UUCCUUUAAUUCUUUCUGGAAUUCUUUCAAUCCCUGGAGGAGUACCACAGGAGGGGCCUGGCAGUGUUUCACCCCCCAUGUCACAUCUCUAGGGCCCUACUUUCCAACUUGAGAAAGCUUAAGCAGCCUGCUCAAGGUCAGCCAGCUAGUUGGCAGCAAAGCUCACACUGGAAUCCAGCUUUUACUCCAGCAGCCUCUCCUCUGGCAACCUUGUUAACCUAGUCUCCAAGGGCUGGGCUGUGGGUUCCUUUGAUUCUUUCCGGACCGCCUGAGGGUGCAUGGAUAUAGUUAACAUCGCGUGUGUCAGUAUCUUAUCUCCUGUCACGUGUAGAGGAACCCAGUUUCCCAACUUUCAAAGAGGUUAAACGACUUGCCCAAGAUCAUCCAUCUGGUCUGUACCAAAGCCCCUACAGGGUUCUGACUCAAGAGCCACACUCACUCAACUCUGCGCUGCUCUCGAAUUCCUUUUAGUUUUUCCAGAACCGAUGAAGCUGCUGCAGCUAUACUUCACCCUGAGUUUAAUCUGUAAGGACAACAGUUCCCAAGGGAAAGUUACAGAGCCGGCGAGACGCUCCAGCAACUACAGAUGGGCAGAAAGCAGCUGACUAGCCAGGGUGGAGACUGCUCAGUCCACAAAUAAUCUCGACGGGUGAAGGUCUCAGGAGUACAUACAACUCCAGAUAGCCGCAAACACUUAGG
rnacentral:lncRNA from 1 species